rnacentral:lncRNA from 1 species
CACAGAACAGGCAGAGGCAGUUCAGGGGGUAUUCUGGUUGCCUUACCCAGCUCUGAAGUCUGUCAGCCUCUUCAGAUGUCACUUGCCCUGUGGUAAGGAAGUGUAGUCAGCACCUGGUGCAGUGGCAAGAAGAGAAAGGAAGUUCCCCAAGACAGAAACAUCUCAGCAGUGAGUUCCUGAUGAGGGAAGGGAAGUGAAUCCUAAGAACAAUCAUGUGAGUUUGGAAGGAGACCCUUCCCCAGCUGAGCCUCAGCCUGAGCCAUCACCUACAUCUAGACCGAAGACCCAGAGAAACCGCAACAUUCGAAACCCAGGUGCCACUCCUUCAGGAAGGUACCAUCAAGCUCCAAGGACUCUUAUCCUCUUUCUCCUUCCCCACUACCUAGUCAUUAGAGCGUCAGCAUCCACUUCUUGAAAGGAAGAUGCCUGUUUUUCACAUAUCCCAGAAAACCCCAUUUUAGGACAGCAUUUAGCAGAGUAUAUUCAGGAUCCCACUAACCUUUUUGGAAGACAUGACUUCCAGAUGAUAUAAGGCAAGAAUAAGAAAUUUCAGUGACAGGGAACAGAAAUCAUAUUUCUGCAUUCAGGAUCAUGUUUUCUUGGCUCCAUCAGGAACUGUGCAGGACUGUGCACUCUGUUGAUACUCACAUGGUGGAAUUAUAUUGCCUUUGGCCAACCCUAAAGCCAUCAAGAUAGCAGGUCUGGUCUACCGAGAAGAGAGAUCAAAGAGCUCUUCAGCUGUUCCCAGCUCCCCACACAAAUCUACCUAACAAAGUCCCGAUAAACAGUCUGUUUUCUGGAGUCUAUCAAUACUGAUGAGGUCUUGUUCUUUUGGCCAGGCUGGAGUGCAGUGGUACAGUCGUGACUCACUGCAGCUUCAAACACCUGGGUUCCAGCAUUCAUCCCACUUCAGCCUCCCGUGUAGCCGGGACUACAGGUCCCUAUCUUUUUUGUUGGAGAAUGAAAUUAAAAAAGAUUUGGACACUCAUUGG